UCGAACUGGGACAUGGUGGUGGACGACAAUGUUAGGAAAUCUGGAGAUGUCAUCGGGGGCCUGGGAAGAGUUAUAUUUUCUUUUUAACGACUUUCCCACCCUAAAAUCGGUUCAACCGGAGAUAGGGUCCAACAUAUGGAAGAGAACCACACGUAUUGCAGUGUUUGGCGCCCCCUCGGUGGCCAUUGAAAAUAUGGAGAACCGAGUACCAUCCAUGCCUGAUCGUACUCAUAUCUGCCUCC
rnacentral:ncRNA from 1 species